rnacentral:piRNA from 1 species
UGAAUCCCUGGGGACCACUUUCUCCC